UUACAGGUGUUUCUUAUCUCGGUUUUGUUCUUGCUACCAGACCUUCUCAUUUCAGGUCCAGUGCCUGUACUCCUGAACAGCACCACCUCUUGUGAUGGCACUGAGGUAUUGAAGGUUUUUAUGGCUUUGGAAAUGGAAAACUGAGAGAACUACGUGACUGAACAAUUGCCUACAAGGCCCAGAGAAUGCAGAUCAUUAAUGCACUAAAUGUGAUCACAUCUCACAGCUUGCUUGAAAGAACCAUCCACAGCUUACUUUCAGUGGGUAAUAUUACCAUGUUUGGACAGACUAGGUACCAUACAACUUUGCUGCCCAUUUUGUGGCUUCCUACAUAGAUUAAGCUACUACUUAGGAAAGUUUUGCAGCAUUCCUAAGAAAUAUGUAGAAAUCAAAAUAUACCAGCUAACCUGAAAGGGAAAGUAACUUUCCUGGGACAAUUAAUCCAAUGGAUGGUAAAAUCAUAAUCUGAAUUAAUAGAGACAUCUGCCUAAAUCUCUAGGCUACAAUUAAAUACCUUUGUCCCUAAAUGCCUUUCUAAAUCAAUUUCUUCAUUUGUAACACUGAGGAUUACAUUACAUAGCAAGGAUUAU